rnacentral:rRNA from 1 species
AUCCCGUGAACCAUCGAGUCUUUGAACGCAAGUUGCGCCCGAAGCCUUCGGGCCGAGGGCACGCCUGCCUGGGCGUCACGCAUCGCGUCGCCCCCCCCUCCCUCGCUCCCUCCCACGGGGAGCGUGCAGGACGGGGGGGGCGGAGACUGGCCUCCCGUGCGCCCCCGUCGCGCGGCCGGCCC